AACGUAGGUGGCAAGCGUUAUCCGGAUUUACUGGGCGUAAAGCGUGUGCAGGCGGGGGUACAAGUGGUGUAUGAAAUUUCCCAGCUUAACUGGGAAGGGUUAUGCCAGACUGUACUUCUGGAGUGCGAGAGAGGGGCGUGGAAUUCCGGGUGUAGUGGUGAAAUGCGUAGAUAUCGCUUGGAACGCCGAAGGUGAAAACAGGCUGCUGGGGUUGCGCCGACGCUGAGACACGAAAGCCAGGGGAGCAAACGGG
rnacentral:rRNA from 1 species